UGACACCCUCCGGCCCCUGGCUGCGCCUAAAAAUUGUGUCCAUAAAAAUUAUGAACAGAACCGGCGUCAAAGGGCAGCCCUGCCAGAGUCCAACAUGCACUGGGAACAAGUCUGACUUACUGCCGGCAAUGCGGACCAAGCUCCUGCUUCGGUCGUACAGGGACCUGACAGCCCUUAGCAAAGGACCCAGGACCCCAUAUUCCCGAGGCACCCUCCACAGGACGCCGCGAGGGACACAGUCGAAUGCCUUCUCCAAAUCCACAAAACACAUGUGGACUGGUUGGGCAAACACCCCUUAAUAUAUCGGUGAGGAAGAAGAGGUGUCCAUCAAGGAGGCAGCAGAGGCUGUUGUCGAGGUGAUGGGGUUCAAGGGUCAAGUGACUUAUGACACAACCUAAGCAGAUGGACAGUUCAAGAAGACAGCCAGUAACGCCAAGCUUCGCCAGUUGUCACGGUCGUGGGAUGGAAAGGACACAGGCGCAGAGUAGAGGUAGGGAAGGUAAUCCAUGUUUAAUCAAACAAAAGAAAGAAGGACUCAAACAAACAAAAAGGCAGCAACCAGUGACGUGGGUCUUCCUUACACAGGAUACACAAAACCAAAAUGAACCACGCCUUGGGGCCUAACAAACUAAAC
ensembl:lncRNA